ensembl:processed_transcript A430010J10Rik RIKEN cDNA A430010J10 gene
GUGAGUUCCAGGACAGCCAGGGCAGCACAAGGAAACCCUGUCUUGAAAAUCAAAAAAAAAAAAAAAAAAAAAAAAAAAAAAAAAAGGAACCUCCUCCAGUCACUGAGCAAAGGUCUUUUGGGCUGGUGUAUGAAGCAGGAAGUUACCUGAGCAUAGGAUUCCUGAGGAAAAGGGGAAGGAUCGGGCACGGGAGAAAGCUUCAACAUGCUUUGUUUCAGGCCAUCUUGAUGAAGGAGCGGUCUGUGUAAACAUUUUACACAGUUCCUGCUCAACCCUACAGGGGCAACUUUUUUUCCCUAUUUGCAUUAACUCCCCAAGGUGAAAUCCUCCUACCUUUGCUUCACAACUUUUCCUUUUUAUUUAGUGUCAAAAGUUCUGGCGGUCUGGUGGAGUUAUAAAUCAUUGCCAAUGUCAAGGUGA